rnacentral:rRNA from 1 species
AUGCCAGAUCCCGACGCGGAGGUGAUCGCGCUGUCGCCCAAGACGCUGAUGGCGACGAACCGGUUCGUGUGCGAGAUCUGCAACAAGGGGUUCCAGCGGGACCAGAACCUGCAGCUGCACCGGCGGGGCCACAACCUGCCGUGGAAGCUCCGGCAGCGGAGCGGCAAGGAGGUGCGCAAGCGGGUGUACGUGUGCCCGGAGCCCAGCUGCGUGCACCACGACGCCUCCCGCGCCCUCGGCGACCUCACCGGCAUCAAGAAGCACUUCUGCCGCAAGCACGGCGAGAAGAAGUGGAAGUGCGACAAGUGCUCCAAGAAGUACGCCGUGCAGUCCGACUGGAAGGCGCACGCCAAGACCUGCGGCUCCCGCGAGUACCGCUGCGACUGCGGCACCCUCUUCUCCCGGAGGGACAGCUUCAUCACCCACCGCGCCUUCUGCGACGCGCUGGCAGAGGAGAGCGCCAAGGCGCGCGCCCCGCCGGCGGAGGACGGGAGCUCCGGCGCUGCUGCCCCGCCUGCUCUACCGCCACCACCAGCCGCUCCGGUGCCACUGCAACAGCUGCCGCCGGCGCCCGCGCCGCAGCAGCACGAGGAGCCAGAGCGGGAGAUCGGCGCCGCCGCGCCUGAGCCUGUCGUCCAGUACACGCCGCCGGCGCCGCUGAUGCCGUCCCCGCCCUCGGUCAACGGCGCCAAUGUCAGUGCCAGCACCAGCAGCGUCGCGGCCACGUCGCAGAGCCUCCUCGGCAGCAUGUUCGCGCCGUCUUCCGUGGCCCAGGCGCCGCAGUACCCGGAGCGCGCGCUGGCGGCCAAGCCCCCGUCGCUGUGCCUCGCGACCGACGCCGCGUCCGCCCAGUUCUCGGCCCCCGCGGCUGACCGGCAGCAGCAGCAGCUCCCACCGCCGUCGCCGUCCCCGUCGGCGCACAUGUCGGCCACGGCGCUGCUGCAGAAGGCGGCGCAGAUGGGCGCCACCUCGUCGAGCUCCUCGUUCCUGCGUGGGCUGGGCCUGGACAUCUCGUCGUCCUCGCCGGCGUCGACGUCGUCCGGUCAGCACCACCACCACCACCACCACCACCACCACCAAGAAGCCAUGCAGAUGCAGUUCCCGGAGGGGUCGCUGCAGCAAUGGCCGCCGCGGUUGGAGCCCGAGCCUGCCCCGAUGAUGUCGGCCGGGCUGGGCCUCGGGCUGCCAUACGACUCGACCGGCGGUCCGAUGGGGCUGCCGGAGCUGAUGAUGGGCCAGUCAUCGCUGUUCAGCGCCAAGCCAGCCACGCUGGACUUCCUAGGACUCGGGAUGAGCCCCACGGGCGCGACGACGAGCAGGGGCCUCCCCGUGUUCAUGCAGCCGAUGGGCGGCGCGGUGGGCAUGGCCCGGAGCGGCACCGGGCCCCCCGACACGUUCGGCGCCGGCCGGGGCGCUCAGGGCAAGCCGUGGGAGAGGAACCCGAGCAGCUCGCCGAUCCUGUAA